rnacentral:rRNA from 1 species
CUCCGACUCGAGGUAGGUUUGAUCAGUGGCUCACGGAGAACGCUGGCGGCGUGCUUAACACAUGCAAGUCGAGCGGAAAGGCUCCUUCGGGGGUACUCGAGCGGGCGAACGGGUGAGUAACACGUGAGUAAUCUGCCCUUGGCUUCGGGAUAACUACCGGAAACGGUGGCUAAUACCGGAUAUGACCACUCCUUGCAUGAGGUGGUGGUGGAAAGUUUUUUCGGCCAGGGAUGUGCUCGCGGCCUAUCAGCUUGUUGGUGGGGUAAUGGCCUACCAAGGCUUCGACGGGUAGCCGGCCUGAGAGGGUGACCGGCCACACUGGGACUGAGACACGGCCCAGACUCCUACGGGAGGCAGCAGUGGGGAAUAUUGGACAAUGGGCGGAAGCCUGAUCCAGCAACGCCGCGUGAGGGAUGACGGCCUUCGGGUUGUAAACCUCUUUCAGUACCGACGAAGCGCCGAUGAUGGUGGUGACGGUAGGUACAGAAGAAGCACCGGCCAACUACGUG